CCGCGGGGAAGGAAUGAAGACUUGUCGUGUGUUUAUUUUUCAUGUGUUGAGUUAUAUUAUAUGCAUGGUGUCCAAAUGGAGUUGGUAUACUCCGCACCGUUACACGUGGGCUGACCGGAGCGGGGAGCUGUUACAGUAGAUCGUAUGGACAAUCUCCUACUCUCGAUACUCAAAGGUCAUAGUUGUUAUUGAUACAUCUUGCAUCGGG